rnacentral:tRNA from 3 species
GCGCCCGUAGCUCAGCAGGAUAGAGCAACGGACUUCUAAUCCGUGGGUCAGAGGUUCGAAUCCCCUCGGGCGCGCCA